GGUCCCAUGGUGUAAUGGUCAGCACUCAGGGCUCUGAGUCCUGCUAUCUGAGUUCAAAUGUCAGUGGGACUU
rnacentral:tRNA from 1 species